rnacentral:rRNA from 1 species
AAAACGACUCUCGGCAACGGAUAUCUCGGAUCUCGCAUGGAUGAAGAACGUAGCGAAAUGCGAUACUUGGUGUGAAUUGCAGAAUCCCGUGAACCAUCGAGUUUUUGAACGCAAGUUGCGCCCAAAACCUUCGGGUCGAGGGCACAUCUGCCUGGGUGUCACGC